CCCUUAGAUGUUCUGGGCCGCACGCGCGCUACACUGAUGCACUCAACGAGUCUCCACCUUGACCGAAAGGUCCGGGAAACCUUUGAACGCUGGUCGUGAUGGGGAUAGACUUUUGCAAUUUUUGGUCUUCAACGAGGAAUUCCUAGUAAACGCAAGUCAUCAACUUGCAUUGAUUACGUCCCUGCCCUUUGUACACACCGCCCGUCGCACUUACCGAUUGAAUGGUCCGGUGAAGCCUCCGGAUUGGCGCGCACCUCGGUGCCGCCGAGAAGUUGGCUAAACCUUACCAUUUAGAGGAAGGUGAAGUCGUAACA
rnacentral:rRNA from 1 species